UGAGACAUCCCCACAACCGCGGAGAGC
rnacentral:piRNA from 1 species